rnacentral:snoRNA from 1 species
AUGCAUCUCUGACAGACCUGGAGAAGCUAAUGUCUGCUGCUAAGGUUUCCACUACAGAUGCAAGAAAAAGAAGGUCCUCGCGUUUUCUGUCUGGUUGUAGCAGCCAAGAUUGAAUGGGAAAAUACAGGA